rnacentral:rRNA from 1 species
AACGAACGCUGGCGGCAUGCCUAACACAUGCAAGUCGAACGAGACCUUCGGGUCUAGUGGCGCACGGGUGCGUAACGCGUGGGAACCUGCCCUUAGGUUCGGAAUAACUCCCCGAAAGGGGUGCUAAUACCGGAUAAUGUCUUCGGACCAAAGAUUUAUCGCCUUUGGAUGGGCCCGCGUUGGAUUAGCUAGUUGGUAGGGUAAAAGCCUACCAAGGCGACGAUCCAUAGCUGGUCUGAGGGGAUGAUCAGCCACACUGGGACUGAGACACGGCCCAGACUCCUACGGGAGGCAGCAGUGGGGAAUAUUGGACAAUGGGCGAAAGCCUGAUCCAGCAAUGCCGCGUGAGUGAUGAAGGCCUUAGGGUUGUAAAGCUCUUUUACCCGGGAUGAUAAUGACAGUACCGGGAGAAUAAGCUCCGGCUAACUCCGCG